CACACACACACACAAUGGGAAAAAAAUACCAAAAACAAAAAUGAAAGCAGAGGUAAGCAGGGCUUGGUCAGAACAUUAAGGCUCAGCCACUCUGUGUAUGGGCGCAAUGGUGCACAGGGCCCCAGGGUGCAGGCUGGGCACACACGUGCAGCUCCUGCGGCAUCACCUGGUGCUGUGCGAGCUCCUCCACAGCCCUCUCGCCUCUUUCCAGACCUCAGAGUCCCAUUUGUGACUCCCCGGCCCUAGUCCUGGGUGCCAGCCCAGGCCCAUCCCCACCAGACACGGCCCCCAGCAGACCCUGGGAACACAGAGAAGGGCUCACU